UCUUACGGUAAAGAAAUGUUUCCUAACUUAUCACUUCUUAAAAAUCAGCCUAAAUAGGUUUGAGACAUCAAUCAGUUGCCAUAAGCAUAUGCAUGGUUAGCAUAAAGGCAGGGGAAGAAGGCUCGCAUUGUCUCCUUCCCUCUGUAACCGAGCAGUACGCCAUCCACUUACAAAACUGAGAUUCCCCCUGGGUAACUCUUGGCUCUGAUGCAUUAUUAACCAUUUUAAUUUGUAAGUGGCUUGAAGAUACCCAGGUAAAACGAGGCAGAACUAGGUCAGCUGCACCGUGCAGUGGCUUUCAUUAGCAGCUGUGCAGCUCUGUCACCUUUUGUACAUCUCAGGGAGCCCGGGUACCUCCCCUGCUCUGCAGUGGAGCUGGAUCAGAGAUGACCUCUUCAGGGAGAAAUGGUAAUGGGGAAGUGCUGGUUAUCUGAAACUUAUAUCCAAAAAGACAGGAUCCCAGGCACUGCGCCAACCUCCUCACAUUUAGAAUAUUUUAAGACAUUUGAGGAAAGUCACAUGCACGUCAUACAUUUUAAUGUUCAAAGGACUCCUGAGAUAACAUACAUAUAUUUUUUUUCAGGCAUAAGGCAAAUAGCAGGAAGGGAAAGAUGUGUAUCACAAAGUCAUCUGAAAACGCUGGGGGGAAGAUCUGUCUUCAGCCACCAACAAGUGCUCUGUGUUGAUCCAUACUGCUAUUUGUUACAGUGUUUUGUUAAUCCAAAGGUCACAACGAGUGACCAUGUUUCAGCUUGGAGUCCGUCUGUUUCCAUCGCCACCUUUGUUCAAUCUUUGAAGGGACGGGAGGAGACAAAAAGCCUAACCUUGCUUCAGAAUGUUGUGAGUUUGGGAAGAUUCAAUGAUGAGAUGAAAAUGCUGAGCAGAAUGUGCCCAGAUUUGUGAGCUGUGCUGCUUGUGGAGCUAUGAACCUAUUCCAGGUGAUGCUCCUGACAUCCCUGUGUUUCCUAAGGGCUUUUCCAUUGCCGUAGGUCUUCAUUUACAGCAGCCUUCUCAGCUUUUGAGCAGAAACACUGUAGUGCUGACUAAUCAGUUUAUUUCUCAUUGCUUCUUUUUAGGUGCUGAUUUACUCCUUGGGGUUUCUUGGUGGCAUAUCUCAGCCCAGGCUCAACCAGAGUCUAGGUGCUGAUGCCUUUGGUGUUUCACUGCCAAACAGAAGCAAGCUGCAAUAGUAUCAGCUCAGCAAUGAUGUGCAGAUGCCUGGAAGUCCCCCAGUAAAGCUAUGUUGGGCAGUGAGUCCUGUCUAGGUGGCACCCCUGGAGCUGACUGCAUCCCAUAUCUCACCAAGUGUGCACCUGGCAUUCACAGAGAAUGAAGUCCUGUGCACCACAACUGCAGGAAGGAUGUGGGGAGCCAAGGUCCUAUGCAGCGAAUCUGUGCUUUCAAGUCUGCUUCAGGUGUUCACAUCGAGACCAUCAUCAGCUCAGCCACUGUUGUUCACUUUUCAUCGUGAAGAAGCACGCCAGCUGACUGAUGCCUCUUAGAACCAUAGAACUAUUAAUGCUGGAAAAGAUCACCAAGUUAAUCUCCAGUCUGUCCCCACCAAGCCCAUAACCACGACCUUCAGUGCCACAUCUCCACGUUUCUGGAACACCUUCAGGGUUGGUGAUACCACAACUCCCAAUGCAGUCCAUGUCACCGUGCCAUCAUUCUUUCAGAGAAGAAAUUUUUCCUAAUAUCCAGCUCUUCAAGACCAAAGUGGUGUUACUUGUUAUCAAACUGGACAGAAGGGAUCCAGGCCAGGACUGGGCAGUGGGGACCAUCUUUCUGUCCUCUCACAUGUCGGCGCUCAUGCCAGGCCUCUUCACCCACAAAGGUAAGGUGCCACAUGUUUCUGCACUACAGUGAGCUGACAGUUGGGCAUUUUCUUGCCAUCACUCUCUGUCUUCUGACAGUGGUCAGUAGUGCUGGGAUUGGGACUCAUUUUCAAAUGAGCGAUGUGGUUUAGCAGGCGUGAUGGUGAUGGGCUGAUGGUUGGACUAGGUGAUCUUAGCAGUCUUUUCAAACCUUGAUUCUGAGGUCCAAAUGUCUUGAGGUUUUUGAGCAGAAGGCAGAAAAAGGUGGCUUGUCCCUUGGGGACACCCAGCCCAGAGCACUGUGCCCUUUGCUGGGGAGCAGCGUGGGCUUUGGAUGUGGCAGCAGUGGAGCAGCAGUAGGCAGUGACAGAGCUGGUUUGUGUCACUCCUUCAGCCCUGCCUGUGAAACCAGCUGGUUUCUGCAGGCUGCUUGCAGAGGAAGAUGUCUUAUUAGAGUGUAAAGAAAUUCCGGGUGGUGAGCUAGCAUGGUCAGAUGUCCUGCAUUCACAACAGAAAUGCAGCUUCUCUGUAGAUCUAACAAGAUGUUGUGCAACGUGAUGGAUAGGUGUGAUGCAUGAAAUGUGAUGUGUAUCUGUGGAAAUAACGUUAGAAAUCCUAAUUCUUGGUUUACUGGUAUGAAACACAACUGAAGAAGAGAAAUUCAGCUAUUGCAGAUAGAUUUCCAACAAACACAAAUAAAGGAGCCUUUGCCAUGUGUUAUUUCAACUUCACUGACCCUUUCCUUCCUAGAAGCUAUUGCUAUCUUGGUCUUAAUUGCCUGUAGAAAUUAAGUGAUGGGCAACAGAUCUCUACAGGUGUCACCUGAAGUUAAUCAAGUAGUAGGGGAGGAACAAGGUAAAAGUAGGGGAAAGGCAAAAGUACAGAUGAUCUGUUAUCUUUGCAGAGUGCAAGAUACAAAUUUGCAGUGCAAGAUACAAAUUAGCAAAGCAGCAGGAAUAGGAACACUCCAGUCCAGCUUGUAAAAACAAGCCAGUGACCAGGCUCGUCUUAUUUGUCUCUUUCUGACCCAUUUAGAUUCCUUCCUCUUAAAGGACGUUUCUUCAAAUGACAGUGUUUAACUAAUGCAGAAUUCCUACAUCUGAAGGACAGUCUGUGAUCCAGUCCAUUGACUCCUGAUUUCAUUUAAACUGCAAUUCAUUAUUUUCUUCCUGUGCUCAUUCAAGAACCCAUUGUUCAUUACUCUUUCAUCACGCUAUGAUUGGAACAAUUUGUAUCUGUUGCUCAUACAUUGGCCAGAUAAUGAAAUAAUCAUUUGUGCAUCUACACAGUAUUUUACAUUUAUUUUUCACAGUGUAAUUCACUUUGUAGGGUCAUUCUAUCAUUCUGGAACAAAUUGUGAUCUUGUUUAAGCAUUUGCUAGCCGGUAACAGUCUGCUACUGCCAACAUCAGGACUCAUGUCUGAACAGACAGACAGAAUGGCAGUGAAGUAAUUGCUCAUCCUCCAGUCGACAAAACCAGCCCAUCUUCUAGGAGGAAGGAUUCUUUUGCCACUGUCUUUAUCCACAGAACAACGAUGUUAUUAAGCAGUCCUUCCCGAGGUUUGGGUCAGCCCGUCAGAGACAGGCAUAAUAAGAAGGGAUAAGAUUACCUUAAUAAAAAUGAAACUGGAUGAUAACGCACCCAGAGCACAAUUAUGGCACUAUUCAAAUGAGCUCCUAUUCUCAAGGAGGUCAGUGAGGUUAUGAUUUCUAGAGGAGUCAAGAGAUUAGGAGAAUAAACUAAUUAUUCCGACAUGGAAUAGAUAGGAAGGUGAUUGCUGAUUGGUUAAUUCAUUUUUCUUCUGUAAAUCUAUUUCUGUUCAAUUAAUUAAAAUGACACAUAUGUUAUACUCUCCAAAUAUCACACACAUUAUUAUGUAAAGGUUGAGUUAGUCAUUAUGUUGGAAAAGGUCAGGGCUUGAAUUUAAUGCUGGAGGGAGAUACUGUCUUCCAUUCACUUGUCAUAAUUACCACCCAGUUCCCUUCCUACCCACUGGUGGGAUCUCAGCUUUGGUCUUCAGUGGACUUGCCACACAAAGAGUUUUGGACAUCCAUCCAAAAGAUUCUCCAACAAAAGAAAGAUCUUUUGUCUAAAUAGUCUCUAAUUCCAUUCGUUUGGCAUGUGAGCUGAGCUGUAUCAAUAGCAGGAUGUGUAAUUCUGUCCUCACCUAUUUCAAGGUGAUGCCCGAAGUCAUUAGGACAUGCGAAGGCUCUUUUGUGUUGGACAUCUUGCCCAAAUAGCUCCAGGAGGUGUUUGGUUGGGUGAGAUGUGAAUACGUGGAACAGACCUGAGGUAGGAGUGGAUAAACGGAGGAGUGGGUGGCUGUGCUUCAGCUUCAGAGCCAUUGACUUCAAGAUUCUACUGGAUCAACUCUUUGCUCCUAAGUGGGUUUGAUGGAUGCAAGCACUGAGGCAGUUGAUGGUACUAAAGCUUAUAAAUGACCCUUUGUUCAUCCCUUCAGCUCCACAGGGCAACGUAACAGCAGAGGUUAUUUUUGCUGCUGGUCAGCAGGUCAGUGUUAGCGAUGAAUGAACCAUAAAAAUGAACUAUUCUUGCUGUUAAACCUGGAGUGUUUCUGUACAAUCAUGGCUGGACUCAGAAAUAGCCUUGGAAUAGCUAGAAACAUUUCACUAGGCCACUUCCACCGUUGUAGGCAUAAGUGAAGAAAUAGAAGAAGAAAUGAAUGUCAUUGGAGUGAAUAUGGACAAGGCAUAAAGUGGUGUUGCUACUUUGUCCUGGGAAUGACUUAACACUUCAAAUCCCCUGGGAGAGUGGCAGUCUUGGUGCAUCUACUAUAUGGGCUCAUUGGCUUUGGCCUUCAGAGCCAUCACUCCAGUAAACUCACCCAUUUCCCCAAGGAAGCACUAAAUCUUCUAAAAAUGGAGAAGUCCGGAUGGACAUUAACUGGCAUUGUAAAAUAGCUACAAAAUAUUCCAGGCUAUUAUCAGGUAAAGAGUUCAAAGAUUUGUUUAGGUUGUUUGCAGUGGGAAUGACUGAGAGGACACUCUUAGCCACGGGGUUUACCAGUCUAUAAACAUAAAUCUGUGGUUACAUUUGUAAAGGUACUGCCUUGCGUUAGACAUUGUACACUUAUUUUAAUGCCUAGAAAUACUCUUUUUUUUUUGUAAAUAUAUUCAUUCUUCUUAGUUACACUCCAUUAACUGGUGUUUGGUUAACAUGCGUACAGACUGUAUCAGCCAUUUUAAUAGAGCAAGAAUGGGAAGAAAAACUGUAAAGACACGAGCUGGCAUCAGAUUUAUCUGGAGAGAGAAAAUAUCAGCAGAAACAAACUGUCGCAGGAUGUUAAAAAAUCACCUGCUUCUUAGAGGAGAUACAAUUGGGUAACGAUCCAUGGAAACACGAAUGUUUCAGAUUGCAUAUCUUCUAUUCAAAUUUAUGACCAGCUGUCAGAGCACUGGUGCCCCUCACUCCAUGAGAGGGAUUGCUCUUUGCCGAGCAGUAAUGAGCAGAUUAUGGGUGGUGCUGGAAAAAGUAUGGAACUCUUUGAGAAAUUGCAGUGCAUCGUAUUAACUUCUCUCUGAUGUUAGCAAUUUCCCAUCAUAUUGUAUUACCAAUCACUGUCACUAAUAUACCAUGAAAUUCAGAUGUAUAAUGUAGUGUACAACUCAACCUCUCGUUUCAAAGGUUUGUUACCCAUAAUCCUGCAUGAGUCAUUAGUAAUGUCACUGAACAGAGGAAAACUCAUUCACUUUUUGCAGUGUUUCCCCUGCUGGCAAAUAUCUGACAUAUUACAUGUAGGCGCAAUGCAAAAUUCUCCAGAGAACUUUGAUUGCAGCAAUGUGAAAUGCAUGUCUCUUUAAUGGGCAGCCAGGUCUACAUGCAACCCCCAACUAUCCCAGCAUAGCGUGCCCCACCGGAUGGUUGAACAGCUGGGCUCUUUGAUGGAGCAUCUUUUUUCUUUGCUUUAAAUUAUUUAUCUAUUGAAGUGUAGUUUGUAGCAUUUUAAAGGCAAGGUUAUGCUAAGGGGUAAAAAUGCCCCCACUAAAAAGAUGGUAAAAUAUCUGGGUGCGGUUAAAAUUUGGGAAAGAACUUAAUUUUUUUUAGGAGUUGGUCUUCCUCGCAGAUAGAACUUAAUAUCUCAUGGCUCAGGGAGGAAGGCUGGCACCCAGGCCCCUCAGGAGCACGCAGCAUAGGAGCAGCAGCAAGCCAUGCUGCCAACUACAUGAAAAUGAGACUAGAAUGAAACCCAGAUGUUGCUAUUCCACUUCAAGAGAAAAAGUAUAGUUUCAGAGAGUCUUGGACCCUUGUGUAGAUGUGUUCCACAAACUGCCUGAACUUCACCAGCUCUAUAUUGGGUCAUCUCUCCCAUGUGGGGAGGUCACUCUGAACCAUGAUCCUGCUACCUAUAGUGAUGUGCUGGGAAUAUUCAUUUAGUUUUGAUUUCCUCAUUUGUCUUCUGUAAAAGUUAAUUGUGAUGGUGUCAAAACCCUUCCUGUGCCAAGAUAUAAGGUGUCCACUGAUACCCUUUGCCUACACCCCAGUCAUUUUGCUAUAGAAGGGAGGUAGGUUGGUUUGCUGUGACUUGCUGUGAAAUCUGUUGGCCAUUUCCCACCUUCUUACUGCUGGGUUACACGUUGGCCAUUGAGUUGUUUUCUCUGGCCAUUGAGUUGUUUUCUCUGCUGUUUUUGCAGGUGGUAAGUUGUCCGGCAGGUCUGCACUUCUCAAGGUGCCUCCUGCACAGACAGGUGACAUUGUCCACUGGACAAUGUGUUGACGUGCAGUUGAUGCUUCUGGAUUAACUUCAGAGCCAUAUCUGGAAAUGCGAUCCUCUUCCUGAUCCCUUAGGAACACAUUAAUGGAUGUUUAUUCAGCUUCUUGCUUAAAUUCAGUCAUUCUCGCUACUUAUUUUUAGUCCUUAACAUAAGCUAUUUCUGUUUUCUCACCAUUCUUUCAUCAAGUCCAAGAUCAGGUCAAGAGCCUCAGAGCUGAUGUGUCAUUUUGCUCAUGACAGCGCUCUGACAAGCGGAUGUAGCAGUGUGUUUGAGGCAUCCAGAGAGGAGGAAAAAAGCACAUUUAAAGCAGGUGAGGCACAUGGCAGGCUGAAUGGCAGGAUGGCAGCGUGUCUGUAAGAUCACCUGCCAAGGCACUGCUGUCACUUCUUAAUUCCACCUCACACUGGGCUGUGUGGAGGUGAUGCUGCAGCCGUACCCCCAGCUCGCACUGCUGCAAAGCUGCAGUCAUUAAUGCUGAAGGCAGCGAGGUUCAUUGUCGAUUCUCCCAACAAUAGUGUGUCAGUCAGGAGACAGGCCCAGUGGCUCCUGCAUCACCAAUUUGAGUACUUAGCCUGCCAGUCCCAAUUUAUUUCAUGAAGUGUCUGCAGUCUCCAAGUUUGCUAACGUCACGAUGGUGAUGUAUCUAUUCUUGUCUCUGAAAGGAUGCAAAAGGGACAUUAGAGCCAGCACAACUCUGUUAAAUACCUUGUUGGCAGGGGAUAUCAGAAAUGCAAUCUGCUUUUUAAGCACAACUUGCUAAAUAUCAUAUUUCACAGAGUGCAUCGUUAUUAGGAAUGAUGCUUGUGACAGUAGCAUGCAUGGCAUUUUCCUCUACAUGAUCUGGCUGACAGUCUAUGACCUGAUUGGCAUGCCAAUAUUUUUGCUUAUACAAAUAACCAGACAGCUACAGUCAAAAGGUAAUUAAAAAUGAGAUCCAGGCUGCUCCCAUUUUAAAUCAGGCUAAAGACACAGUGACCCAGCAACUCUCAGUGACACUAUCAGCAACAUACCGUCAUUAACUCUUGCAGCCUGGCUGGUGCUGUUUGGAAGCAAAGCUUUCGGGUGUCACAGUGCAGAUGUGUGUUAUCUGCAGCAUUGUGAUCCUACAUUGGGGUGCUGUGUGCUUCAGAGUGCUAGGCAGAAACCUUCAGCAAAGAAUGUCUUAACAGAAAGUAUCAGUUCAUCAAGCUUGGCAGAAAAUACCAGCUACAGAAAAGCAUGAGGGUUAUGGCAUUCAUCAGCGUUGGCUUUGUUAUCCCAACCUUGUUUUGGGAAGCUCCGAGUGAGUGCUCAGACCAGGGCUGCCCUGUGCUGGUUCUAACCCACCCUCAGUACCCCAGGAUUCAAUUCAGACACUUUGGAAGUCUCAGAGCUAUUUUUGGCUGCCUCCACCAACAUACCCCUGCACAGUGUAUAAGAGACAGGAGGAACAGCAAAGAAGCCUUCACAGCGAAUCCCAUUUCAGCUCAGCACUUCUGUAAAUUUAAGAAUUCGCAUAAAAGCACCAAGUCUGUACUGUGAUUGCUAAAUUGGGCUUUAGGAGAAAAUGAUUUAAAAUAUAUAUAUAAAGAAAAAAAAGGAAAAAAAAAAAAGAAAAAAAAAGAAGCAGCAACAGAAUGGAAUAGAGGAAUCUUGAAGUGCCUACAUACAUCUUGCAUCUCCAUGUCACAUCCUUGGCAAAAUUUUCUGGUCUGAUGGCCAGAAUGGGUCAAAGAUGUUCAGGUAAAGCAGAUGUUUAAAGGCUUCUCCAGACGCUGCUGCUGAGCAGUAGAUCUGUGAGAAAGCAAAACUUGGACUUUGCCUAAAUUCCAGCCAUUUAUAUUUACUGCUAGUUGUCAUGGGGUCCUGGUCUCAUUCUGCUUCUAAUGAUUAUUUCUCACCAUUAGAAACUAGCACUGGGACUAGGAGACACAGGUGAGACUCCAAGGCUGGGCUUGCCUUGCAGCUUGAAGACUGUCAUGGUUGUCUGUGUGGGGUGUUCAGAGCAGAGCACCAUCACCCAGUGCUUGGCCUGGAGUGAGAAACCUGAAGUAGAUGCUGCUUGGGUCCUUGUCAGUGCACACAGCAGAGCUGUUUCCUAUCACAAUAUGUUGUUCAGCUGUGGCACUCACUGCCACAGGAGACUGGUUGCCAAAAGCUUAAAUGGUGCAAAAGGCAAUUAGAUGAGUUCCUGGAAGAGCAAUACAACAAGGGUGAUAAAACACACAGAAGUUGCCUCUAGCAUAGAAAGUCACUAAGCAUAGCUCCCUAGAGACAGCCAGAGCACACAGGCUGUGUGUCUGCCCUAAUCUGAACCUCUUCUUUAGGCAUCCACAGCUCUAUGGAGCCAAAGACAGGAUACUGGGCCAGGAGGAGACAACCUGGCCAUUCUCAUGGCAGCAGAUGGCAUGUUUUCAUCUCAUUUAGACAGCACUGGAAGACGUUACAUCUGUAUGAUCUCUUUUGUGAGUGGUGUGAGCCCUUAGCAUCUCUGAGGGCUGUUUCUGCUACAAGGAACCUCCACUCAACUUUUUAGGAGCCAGUACUGAGGAGGGUGGCUGUCAUUGUGGCAUUAAGGAUGCAGUUAGUGGGCACAGUGGGAUGGGGUGAUGGUGGCACUAAAUGAUCUUAGUGGUCUUAUCCAACCUUAACGAUUCUAUCAUAUUCAUGUGUCUUGCUUAAGAGCUUGAUGCCUAUUUUAGGAUUUGUACUGCUCAUAUUAACAAGGAGGAGGGACUUAAAGGGGUUGAUUUGGCAAUUCCACUCUCAGUAGGAGCUGAUCCCAGCAGCUCAACAUAAUCACUGGGAAUGGAGAAAAUCCAGGAGGUUUCACUAGAACUGAGCAGGAGCUUGACAGCUGGGAAAUGCUCGUGUAAGUAGGCAACUGGGAAGUGAGCUGCAGGAGGGUGGUGGUGUUCAGCAUCACUCCUGCAAAUGUCUCCAUACAGACUGUAGAAAUUCAUCCCCCAUUGCUAAGCCUGCCUCCUCUGUGGAGUUCUUCUGCUGCCUGCUCUGGGGAUGGGAGGGGAAGCAGUGGUUGUGGGCAGGCUGUGUCCAGCCCCAACAAACUAGCAUGGUUCUUCUCACGUGAAUCUCUGCUCAGACAGUCUCUAUUUCUUUCAAUAGAAAAUAGACAGCUCGAAAGAACUUGACCAUCCUCCAGUGAUGGCCUAUUUGCCAUCCAAAUCCUUACGCUCCAAAAUCCCUCCCUGGCCUCCAUUUCCUGCAGCUUUGCCCAGUGCAUGAAAUAUAAUGCUGAAGUGAUGAGUCCACGUUCUCAUUCUAACAUCAAAACUGGUUUUGUUUUGUUUUGUUUUCCCUGCAUCUAAAUAAUAACUCUCUUGUCUCAGGAUGAGCUUUUUUCACCUUAGUGUUUUCUCUCAACGAUGCCUGAUCACAAUACAUAUUCCUGCUGGACACCGUGCUUUGAUAAAGGAACAAAAUCAGCAAGUGACGUGUGAAGGUUCUAACUACAAGACGUAAUAUUUUCUAAUUUCCUGCAUGGCAUUGUGCUAUUCAGAGUUCCAGAGAUGCUUCACACCAAGAUUAACCCUACUGGAAACUUGACUUCAUUGAUGCACUACAUAAGCUGCAUUUUCAUGGCAGUGUUUUAUUGAAUGAUCAGCUUGGACAAGAAGAAGCAAUGGUGAAUCGCCCUGAACGAGAUGCCAAAUAGCUGCUAAUGACAGAUGACAUUGUUGAUGGGCCAGCAGCUGUUUGGAAGCCGCCAGACCUUUGCUGCUUGGUGAGCGUUUCUCUUUGAGCUUGGGAAAUGUCCCCAGUGGGAGCUGUGACCUGCCACUGCUGUCACCCAUGGGAACACAACACCUGCAGACACCAGCCGGCUCCUUCCCACUCCUUCAUCUUGGAAAACCAGCCGCAGGUUGCUUAUCAUCAGCCCGAGCUCUAAAGCAGAGCUACUGAUUCUGAUCUGCAGCUGCAGCCAGGCUUAAAUCUUGAUCUGCAAACGAUGUUUCUAUAAAGAGCAGGAAAGCUGGACUGCAUGUUCUCUCUGUUUAAGUGAAAAUACCUGUUCUUAACCCAAACCACGGCCAGUGCACCACACAAAAUGGGUACAAAUUUGGCUUCAUUGAGCAAAUGAAAAAGAAACUGGAUGAACACCCAAGGGUUCCUUUUAGUGAGCAAGAAAACAGACUCCAGAAGAAGCCUUCUCAGCUCCUGGAUUCAUUCACAGUAUUGGGAAUUGAUGGCUCUGGACCCACCCUGCAGGACUCUGUUGGGGCAAGGAGGUACUCAACAAGACUUUCCCAAGAGGUCCCAUAUACCAAAGCUACAAAGGCAGUGAAGAGUCUGGAGGGGGAAGAUGUAUGAGGAGUGGCUGAGGUUUGUUCAGCCCAGAGAAGAGGAGACUGAGGUGGUCCUUUAGCAGCCAGAAGCUGGAGCCGAUGGUGCCCCUUCCAACUUGGGCCCUGAGGAAAUGGUGACCUCGCAGGGUGGGAGCACUCAGAGAGACCUGCUCAGAUCUGCCUCUGAAAUACAGACAUCCAAUGAUUGACAGGAACAGCAGACAUAUGCAGAACGAUGUGGCGUGCGCUCAGGCUGGUGGGUCACCAAACGCUCGGGAUGAUGAGAUGCUCGGUUUGAACCAGGGUUGCAGACCUCAGGAGCCAUUUGUGUGGAAGAAAAAAAUGUGAAUGUACUGAUAAGCUUUCCAAGUGAUUACAAGACUGGGAACAUGGUGAAGAAAAAGCUGCUCUAUGAUACACAACCUGGGCAGCCAGGUCAAAGCUGUUGCAGACAACGGUAAAGCAGCAUAGGAGAAACACCCUUUCUCCUCUGUCAUCGCUGUCAAAGACGGAGGAGGGGAAGAAGUCCCACACACCACAUUUCAGCAAAGCCCUGAAGUGUUCUGCAAAAAGUCACAGCCUCCAAUUGGCAGUUCCAGCUCUUUGGCAGAUGAUUUUAACCAGGGUCAGACCCACAGCUCUUGAAAAUUCAGAACCUGAGGGAGUUCUGGAACUCUUCAUCCCAUGGUUACACCACAGCGUUGAUCCAAGAGCCGGGGGCAGCAUUCCUUGGCCAAGAGGUUUGUGCUGGAUAGGAGCUGAGACCCUGAGUCUGAAGCUGCCCAGGAUCAGUGUGCUGAGAAUACCAACAAGCAUCAAUCAGGCAGUCUGGGAGAGCAUACAGAAAUGUAUCAAUUUGUUCCCGAGUCUUUUCAGGCACAAACAACUGCAAGAAUUUACCACUGCUAUAUAAAAAUAUAGUCUAGGACCCAGGCAGGUCUGUAAAAGUUGUGUGAAGCUGGAGGAUGCAUUUCCUUGUGGGAGAUGUGCUGAAUUUUGAUGCUGAGAGGUGUUGUCAUACACCCCUCGUAACAGCACAAUGCUAUUGCUUAUCCUUAAUAGGGGAAGAUAGGCAGAAGGAAUAGAAUCAGUGCUGUGCAAUAAAAUAAUAGCUCUUUUACCAUUUCCUUGCACAGGUAAUUUUGGUUAUUGUAAUCUAGUGCAAACACAGCAUGGAGCAUAGCGUGUGCACAGCUGUGGCUGAGCAGGAACAAAAGCAUUACCAUUUUCCUUUGCCCACUUAUUUCCAGAUCUGAUCAAUCAGCAGUUAACAAAGGUCCAGGAUGACAUAAAAGAGGGUUUUCUGUUAGCUUCUAUAAUUGAAACGCCUUCUUGGGCUGGAUUUUACGAAGCACGAGGCAAGUGCUCGACCAUGCAGCCUCUCUGCAGGAGCACCACCGGCAGCUCCCAAACCCUGCUCUCCUGUAAGACAGACCUGAUGGGGAUGUGUCAGCACCCUGCCACGCUGCUUGGUCAGCUGGGAAGAGAAGAAAAGCACCGCGAGGAAUGUCUGCAGCUGGAUUCCAGCAGCAGAUGAAAAUAGCUGCUCCUAUUUUAAUCUGGAGAAGUGGCAGCACGGCACAAGCAGGACUGGCAGUCAGUGCUCUGCCACAAAGCUGGGAUUCAAAGAGCAGUUGUGAGUCUGGGAAUGCAAAUGCAGAGCAGGGCAAAACGUGGCCCCAGGCCAUCUGGCCCCAGUGGCUCCAAUUUGGGAUCAGGAGGUAGGGAUUUGUGCUUCCUGUUUUCUUCCUUUUAGCUAUUGCAAAGUGUGCUAACACUGAACAUGGGGCGUUCUCAGGAAGCAACGAGGCUGCUGUGCUCCAUGUCCUUUAUUUGCACGCGGCCCAGCUGGGGUUUGUCUGCUGAGUUAUGUGUUGACUCUUGCCUAAUUCCAGAAGUUUCACUGCACUGUAACAUGCAUAUUCCACUUCCUUGUGGAUUUGCGAUGGCAGAGGAAGAAGACAGAGAAAAAGCUCCUCGCCUGGUGCCUGCUGACCAAGAGCUCCACUCCCAUAAGGAACCAGCAGACCUUCAUCUCAUUUGAGGGGAUCUUCAUUUUCCUCGUGGCCCCAGAUGAAAGCUGGGAGCAUCGUUUGCAUACAGCGGGUGAGAAGGCAGCAGGCUGGAGACCAUCACUCAUCGCUGAAAGGAUGAUCAUUGUUUGUUUAGCUCAUUCCAGAAUAAUGGCUCUGCUGGGAACACCAACCCAGUAUGCAUCAUAUCUUUUAUAGUAUAUAUUAAUUUAGCGUAGACAUUAGCCCAUCAUUAUUCCCUCCUUUUAAUUCUCAUGUAUUAGCAUUCGGGAUCAGUUUUAACCCAGCACACGUCUUUGUUAUUUCACAGCGCAGAAUAAAUAAAGCUGGAGGCAAACGCA